GCAGUGGUGGUUCAGUGGUAGAAUUCUCUCCUUUAGAAUUCUCCUCUUUAUCUGGGAGACCUAGGUUCGAUUCCUGGCUAACGUA
rnacentral:tRNA from 1 species